GUAGGGAAUAUUGGGCAAUGGAUGCAAGUCUGACCCAGCCAUCCCGCGUGCCGGAAGAAGGCCCUCAGGGUUGUAAACGGCUUUUGACGGUGAAGAAUCGACAGGAUGCGUCCUGUUUUGACGGUAGCCGUUGAAUAAGCACCGGCUAACUCCGUGCCAGCAGCCGCGGUAAUACGGAGGGUGCGAGCGUUGUCCGGAUUUAUUGGGUUUAAAGGGUGCGUAGACUGGAAGGUCAGUCAGCGGUGAAAAGCUGUCGCUUAACGAUAGUCUUGCCGCAGAUACUUCCUUUCUUGGAUGAGGAGGAGGCCACUGGAACGGAUGGUGUAGCGGUGAAAUGCAUAGAUAUCAUCCAGAACACCGAUUGCGAAGGCAGGUGGCUGUACCUUAAUCGACGCUGAUGCACGAAAGCAUGGGGAGCAAACAGGAUUAGAAACCCCAGUAGUCC
rnacentral:rRNA from 1 species